rnacentral:rRNA from 1 species
UACGUAGGGGGCAAGCGUUGUCCGGAUUCAUUGGGCGUAAAGAGCGUGUAGGCGGCCAGGUAGGUCGGUUGUGAAAACUGGAGGCUCAACCUUCAGAGGUCGACCGAAACCAUCUGGCUAGAGUCCGGGAGAGGAGAGUGGAAUUCCUGGAUGUAGCGGUGAAAUGCGCAGAUAUCAGGAAGAACACCCGUGGCGAAAGCGGCUCUCUGGAACGGUACUGACGCUGAGACGCGAAAGCGUGGGGAGCGAACAGG